UGGGGAAUAUUGGACAAUGGGCGCAAGCCUGAUCCAGCCAUGCCGCGUGGGUGAAGAAGGCCUUCGGGUUGUAAAGCCCUUUUGUCCGGAAAGAAAUCCUGUCGGUUAAUACCCGGCGGGGAUGACGGUACCGGAAGAAUAAGCACCGGCUAACUUCGUGCCAGCAGCCGCGGUAAUACGAAGGGUGCAAGCGUUACUCGGAAUUACUGGGCGUAAAGCGUGCGUAGGCGGUUCGUUAAGUCCGAUGUGAAAGCCCUGGGCUCAACCUGGGAACUGCAUGGGAUACUGGCGAGCUAGAGUGCGGUAGAGGGUAGCGGAAGGCCCGGUGUAGCAGUGAAAUGCGUAGAGAUCGGGAGGAACAUCCGUGGCGAAGGCGGCUACCUGGACCAGCACUGACACUGAGGCACGAAAGCGUGGGGAGCAAACA
rnacentral:rRNA from 1 species